CCACCCACACUCCGCUCCGCAGCUGGGCCCCGAGCGAGCUCCACGCCGCCGGCCGGGAGUCCAGGGCUCACGGGUUCAAAGGGCCGCGGCCCCGAGGGGAUGCCCUCCUCGCUGUGCCCCGGGGGGCAGAAGCGGACCGCAGGGCGGUGGGACCGGCCCGGGCCACGCCCUGACUCUGUAAUUUUAACUUUCGAAAUCUCUCGUCAUGAGUGAGUCUACCCUGCACUCAAUUUCUUGCCCUGCUCUGGAGCUCUGCCGUCCCUGAACUACAUACCUGCAGAUUACUGAGCACCUACCACAUGUACGCAUGGUGCUGGGUUCUGGGAUGCAAGAGUAAAACAGAAAUAGCGUCUAAACUCAGAGCAGGAAAACUGCAGUCAAGAAGCAGUUGCAUGAAGUGCUUGAGAAGUCAUCGUCCAGGAAUCGGGAGCACGGGGCACUCCUUUCAACAUCAGGCAAAUACAGCUGAGAGAUACCACAGAAAACACCUUUCCAGAUGGAAGAGUAUCCAUAACUGGGGUCGUUGACUCAAAAUAGCAAUGAAGACAACAACAGUGCGGUAAGGACCUAGACUGAGCCCUCACUAUGCAUCAGAGACCUUGCCGCGCACGCACUGUGAUUUUCUGUGAUCCUUACAGCAGCUGGAGGAGGACUGAUGGGCUAAACAGAUUUAAUGCUUGGCUGUCAGCAUCCCUGUGGAAGACUCCAGCAGACCCACAUGUCCUACGGUUCAACUUUUCAAACCUACCUCUGUGUAAUUCCUAAGUAGGAGUCUGAGCUCUGUUGUCAUAUUUCAGUUUUACAGUUACUCUGAAAUAUUUUGAUCCAAAUAUGCCCUUAGUGUCAUGCUUUAUUAAUGCGAUGUGACUCAUAUUAGUGACUGCUUGUUCUUGAGCCAUAUGCCCUGAAUAAGUUAUCGGGUUUCAUUGUUUACCCUAAGUUUAAAAAAAAAUUCCAUGCGCUCCGACCUCCUGACACCUAAACCCAGCUCAUGCAGUUAAAACAGGAAAACUAGUUAUCUGAUAUCACUAAGGCAAAUCAACUUGUAGAGCCGUCAAAUGUUUCCAUUUCCACUGGUGGGAGGGCAUUGUGGGCGCCAUGGAUUAUUCAUCAAGAAAGCACAGGAGAGAAUUUCUUUUCUGUUUGUUUGUUGAUUUCCAAAGUAAACCCAAGUAUGAAGAGAUACA